rnacentral:rRNA from 1 species
UAAAGAAAAACCCGGCCCCAGGCCGGGACCGUCCGUCCAUGAGGUCAGGGUGGCGGCCGGCCGGAGGCACGAGGCCGGUGGCUACGCAGGGGCAGCCGCACGUUGAGGUUCGGGUUCGGCGUGGCUGGCUGGAGAGCGGCAGGAGGAGGGGGUGCGCUUCAGAGGAGGGGAGCGAGGCCCCCCGGUAGUUCACUCACGUCGCCGUUGCGGUGACUGGUGCAGGCGCUCGAGACGAUACUGUUCGCGCAUGUAACUAGCUCCCAUCGGUGCGGUGGCGGUUGCGGUUGAGGCAGCUGAUGGUCACGAGUGGCACGGAGUCCCCGUCCUUCUCCUAAGUCUCCUCCCUCCGCUCGACCCGGUAUUCCCGUUCAAAGGUGUGUGGUGUACAAGCUACUUUACGGGUUGUUCCUCGGCUGGGUAGUUACAACUUUUCAGCGGCAGAUUUCCCAAUAGGCUCUUCUAUAUCAUAGCACUUAGACCAGCUACACGAGAUUAUGUGGAAAUCUAAAAUGGGGGAAGACAUGUCAUUAUAUACGGUAAAAACACAUCAGAGUAUUCAAGGAAUGUAUAUCCUCAACACAUGAAUAGACGAAUCCAAUAGACAGUAGAAUUGUACCUGUCCUAUCUUUACCUCACGAUAAUAACGAGGUACGAGGACCGGCAUCAAUUUACCUCGACUGCUAGGACAUCGUAGAUUGGUAAGUAAAGUAAAGACACCGUCGUCGGAUAAUCAGGUGUACGAAAGGGAUGUCCAUAAUUCCUAUUAAACUGUAAGACAUGUUGGUAUAUUAGAGCUGGGUCAACGAGUGGUCCGAGUAUAUUAGACAUAUAACGGAAUCAAAGGAUGGUUCAAGUACUAUCUAAGACUAAGAACGAGGUUCUGAAUACAACUUCACAGAAGUAAAUUGUCUAUCGACGGUACUUCCGACGUUUACUUCUCGACUUUCCCUACUACUUCUGACAGUCCUAACUUCUGUACCUACAUACGUCGUAGGACAACAAAUGAUGAGGGAGGCAGGCCUUUUCGAACAGGGAGUAUACCUACAUAGAUCGUGAUUGAACCACGAUCUAUGUAGGUAAACUCUCUGUUCGAAAAAGCCUUCCUCCCUCAUCUAACAAAAGUUCUAUAUACCUGCACUUGUUACAUUCUGCUCUACUACCUAGAAUACCUACACUCGUUACAGGGUCUACUGUAGAUACUCCUCCUCGGUGAAGAUAAACUUAAAGUAUUCGAACUACGAAACUUUCGACUAUACCUGAAGCUUAGUUUGAGUGAGGGUGGCAUGGAGGUUGGUCUGUUCCUCUGGCUAGAAAUAAGACUCGAAUUGAUUGGACGACGUGGUUCACUAGUACGUCGUCAGGGCCGUUUGGCCGUCGUCCUCCUACUUGACCCUGACGGACGUUACGGCGUACGUAGUUAACCAUGGACUUUUCAUUGUUUUUACUGAUGCAAUAUCCAAACUAGAGCAACAUUUAUCAGCUGCGAAACAAAUACGUGCCUGUUUAAGUAACGUAGCGAGGAGUAUAUGGUGACGUUAAGCAACUUGCUACUCUACAGAAAAGGGG